GUGAGCGGAAGGGUCACGUGCACAUUUGGAAAUUACCUGACCGCUCGUUACGUCCCACGCGCAACGCAGCAGUGGUCGAAGUGUCGGGCUCGUGGAUGUUGAAUUGAGGAGCACGCGAUGCGGCGCUAGCUGGAGGCUAAUUCGGAAGCUAGCGUGUGCGUCGAGUGUCACCCUGAGGCCUAGCUCUUCAGGUUCUACAGCGCCCCUCAGUCCACAGACGGUCACACACUGACACCUGGUGGAGAGUUUGUGAAACUGCAGUUGAGUAUUGUGAAUAAAACACCUGCUGUUCAGUCCUGACCCGUCCUCUCCUGUUUCAGUGAUGAUCAGCUGUUCCUUCUCUGUGUGAAGGAUCACAGCGCCACCUACCGGAGGAACUACAUGUGACACUCUGAAGUAAAAUGUCACAACACACCUCAAAUCUGAAAGUGACUUCCGGUGAGGUGCUUCUAAAUAAAAGCCCCAGUGUGUUGAUGGAGAACAAUAGAACAGAUAACAUUAUUGAUAACACCAUUAACAUCUCUGGGAAUUUCUAUUAUUAUUUCCACUAUAUCAAACAGUCUGAGCUUAAAUACAACAGUAAACAGAUGCUCCGGGUCUCUCCCUCCCCAGAAGGUCAGCGGUUCGAUACCCGGUUGUUACAAAACUGAAGAAAAGCUUCAGGGGUUGUUGCACAGUGUAACUAAGGUCUUUGUAAAUAAUGUGGCUGCCUGAUAAACACAGAACAGUGAUGUAUUAUCUCCCAGACGGUGACAGAGGAAAAACCAAGAUUAAGUGUCUGAGUGAAGUUGUUGUUAAACUGGACUGAGAUCAUGUGACUGAAGGCACCAGCUGAUUCUGACUGAGUUCUGUCAUUAACAUGAAUAAUUACUGACUUUUUAAUGUUUUGGCCUUUGAACCCUGACACCAUGACUGUCAUGAGCCAUCCAUGUUAUCUUGUUAGUGUUUCAGUUGCAUGUUGUCCUCAUGUUUACAUGUUACAUAAUGUAAAUAAAUCAUAAAUAAUAAAUCUUUCAAACAAAGUGCAGA